GACGAACGCUGGCGGCGUGCCUAAUACAUGCAAGUCGAGCGAGCUUGCCUAGAUGAUUUUAGUGCUUGCACUAAAUGAAACUAGAUACAAGCGAGCGGCGGACGGGUGAGUAACACGUGGGUAACCUGCCCAAGAGACUGGGAUAACACCUGGAAACAGAUGCUAUACCGGAUAACAACACUAGACGCAUGUCUAGAGUUUGAAAGAUGGUUCUGCUAUCACUCUUGGAUGGACCUGCGGUGCAUUAGCUAGUUGGUAAGGUAACGGCUUACCAAGGCAAUGAUGCAUAGCCGAGUUGAGAGACUGAUCGGCCACAUUGGGACUGAGACACGGCCCAAACUCCUACGGGAGGCAGCAGUAGGGAAUCUUCCACAAUGGACGAAAGUCUGAUGGAGCAACGCCGCGUGAGUGAAGAAGGGUUUCGGCUCGUAAAGCUCUGUUGGUAGUGAAGAAAGAUAGAGGUAGUAACUGGCCUUUAUUUGACGGUAAUUACUUAGAAAGUCACGGCUAACUACGUG
rnacentral:rRNA from 1 species